UUCACAUGCAACUACUCCAUCUCAGCAAUUUUCACGGACAUCUAUAAAGCCACGUCAUCCUCUAUUUUUUUCUCCCACUGUGCCGCUAGACGCCUACCCACCCACUCGAUUCUCUUCCCUGUCGCUUCCUCUUCGGCCUCCCAUAACUGAUGAGGCAAUCCGGCGUUUUAUCUCCCACGGGUUAGUACUUUCCUGUCUCUCCUCCUCUCUCUCUCUCGCCGGCGUUAGGCAGACAUGCUUGCUGAUAGCCGACGUUGCUUUUAAUCUUGCCUGAUCUUGCCAGGACUGAUGGGGGAGAUUAGGUAGGCAUGUUUGCUGAUGGUGGGCGUUGUGCAGUCACAGGGAUGCCCUCAAUCUCGAAUCUUGCCGCCGCUCCACAGGGCGGUCGACCACCUGCCAUCCAUGUCGCCACCGUGGAUUGGCGCGUCCUCCAGUGCCACAUGGAGCGUCGGCUGUUGUGCGGUGGAAUGGACCCAUAUCAAGCUCCCUCCUCCACUUCAAGUCCCUCCGCCUCCUCCUCUCACGCCGCCGGCUACGUAGCGGUGCAGCGUGCGUCCGCUCUCAAUUCUGAAGAUCUACUGCCGUGCCAUUGGAUGCAGAGAAAUUAUGUGUGACUGGCUACCCUGCGCAAUACGGAUCCUGAACACGCAGUCACCCCCUGCCUGGAGGAGUCGUCGCCGUGGCAUCAUCUCAUUGCCCGUGUGGAAGAUGGGAGUGCCCCGUUCUCGAAGCUGGGAAGUCAUAAUUUGGUUAUAUAUUUUUUGCAUUUGUGGACACAAAAUUACGAUUGAUGCUCUACCCAAGAUCUGCACAGCUGUUGACUUCAAAUUGUUCUCCGUUUCUGCUACCUGACACAGGGUACUGAUCCGAGGCAAGUAUUGAUCUAGGUCAUCUGCAACCAGCUACGAUCAAGAUCAAUAUCAAAGUUGUAGGAAUUGUUUCUGUACACGACUACUGCAACCGAGGAAGUAUAGUAUAGGCUUCUAUUUUCAACAAGGUUUGGUAAUGUUACACAAUGGUCAUUAAUUUUCCUUGAUUUUCU